rnacentral:rRNA from 1 species
UACAGGGGGGGCAAGCGUUGUUCGGAAUUACUGGGCGUAAAGGGCUCGUAGGUGGCCAACUAAGUCAGACGUGAAAUCCCUCAGCUUAACUGGGGAACUGCGUCUGAUACUGGAUGGCUUGAGUUUGGGAGAGGGAUGCGGAAUUCCAGGUGUAGCGGUGAAAUGCGUAGAUAUCUGGAGGAACACCGGUGGCGAAGGCGGGUCUCUGGGCCGAUACUGACGCUGAGGAGCGAAAGCGUGGGGAGCGAACAGG